rnacentral:piRNA from 1 species
UUCACGCGCUGGAUGAUCUCUUUCCUC